UGCAAAUGCACUCUGUGUCACAUUAGAACUAGCUUCGUGUGAUGACAAUUUGUUAGUUUGCCAAAUCAACGAGAUUCGUCUUAUCCAUGUGGUCAUGUUCUUACCAAUUUGCUCACAUUGAAAACGACCCUAACAUGAG
rfam:Drosophila yakuba strain Tai18E2 chromosome 2R v2_Cont9.2, whole genome shotgun sequence.